GAUGAACGCUGGCGGCGUGCUUAACACAUGCAAGUCGAACGAUGAAGCCCAGCUUGCUGGGUGGAUUAGUGGCGAACGGGUGAGUAACACGUGAGUAACCUGCCCUUGACUCUGGGAUAAGCCUGGGAAACUGGGUCUAAUACUGGAUAUGACUUCUCAUCGCAUGGUGGGGGGUGGAAAGAUUUAUUGGUCUUGGAUGGACUCGCGGCCUAUCAGCUUGUUGGUGAGGUAAUGGCUCACCAAGGCGACGACGGGUAGCCGGCCUGAGAGGGUGACCGGCCACACUGGGACUGAGACACGGCCCAGACUCCUCCGGGAGGCAGCAGUGGGGAAUAUUGCACAAUGGGCGCAAGCCUGAUGCAGCGACGCCGCGUGAGGGAUGACGGCCUUCGGGUUGUAAACCUCUUUCAGUAGGGAAGAAGCGAGAGUGACGGUACCUGCAGAAGAAGCGCCGGCUAACUACGUG
rnacentral:rRNA from 1 species